AGUAGCUCAGUGGUGGAGCUCCCGCUUCAUGUGCAGGAUGACCUGGGUUUGAUUCCUGGCU
rfam:Toxocara canis scaffold1038, whole genome shotgun sequence.